ensembl:lncRNA
AUGUCACUAUCAUUGUUCCUCCCUCUCACUGUAGACAGCUCUGCACUGGAUGCCAAACGCCUGAUGAAGACAGCCGGGAUCAUCUUCUUCCUUAUCGGCGUCACCGUAGCCGUCGGUGGAGCGGCUUACUAUUGGUGGAAACGGAGGUUUGACUUCAGCUCAUUAAGCAGCCAAGAACCGACAUCUCCACGUGAUCUGCCAGAAUUCUAGAGAGGGCAAUGCUGAAAUGAAUCAAACAUAAUAAAGCUCAGCAGAGGACUGGGAUUAGGUUUUAUUAUAAAGCAUUAAAGGUGGAACAGAAAGAGAGAACAGUCCCCUUCAGCAUGCUGCUGUUACUAACCUACAGUGGGAGGAGACAAACGGCAUCGUGGGAAAAUGACAACUGGCUCCAGGACAUGGUGGAGCUCCUCCUUUAUCAUUUGUGUCAACAAAGGACCCGGCUGACAUAUUAUCCUUCAGAAAAAGUGCCAUAAAUAGUUCUGACUUUGUGUGGUGAUCAUUUUGUAGGAUUAAUGUCUCACCUGCAAAAACAGCUUCACCUUGAAAUGAGAGUUAUUGUGAGACAUGUCAUGUCUGUGUCUGUUGGAUCUGUAUGUCUGUAUGAAGUGUUUGAAGGAUUGAAGGAUAAAGAACAUUCAUUAAACCUAUUGAAUUAAGAAAAACCAGGAGCUUUUUGAAUAACAAAUAACUGUAAACUCGACAUUAAGGUUAUUUUCAGUAGCCUAGUGAUUAUUACAGCUACUCAAGUACUGUUAAGUACAAUUUUGAGGUAUUUGUACUUUACUUGAGCAUCUUAAAGGAGCUAUACGUAAGAAAAGUUGAUUUUUGAGUUUUAAUGACGCCAGUUUCAGACGGGUUUGGAAACCAAGAGCGCCAUUAAUCGACGAGGCGGGAGAUGAGGCUCAGAAAUAAACUUUUCUUACAAACAGCGCCUUUAAUUUUCUGGAUGAAUCUCUCCUACAUUACCCACAAUGCAACAUAGCCACUGAGUGACAUCACUGAAAGGAAAUUUAUCAGAUUACAUGCAGCUUCUUCUGGAGCCACAAAAUGCUUUAUACUCCUUUUUUUCAUAGAUACCGUGUAGCAGGACUCUCCAAGACCUGUAAACACACUUUAAUGUGAAAAACUCGUGGAGUUGCCCUUUAGGUGUUUUUAUGGUACCAUCUUAGCUUUUUACGGUCCUAUACAUGCAGAUAAUGUAGGAGAAUUUGUGUCUUUUUCAUGUUAAUGUGUGACAAUGUGUGCAUGAAUACACUGACGGCUUUUUCAGUGACACUUUUAUCGAAAGUAAAAGGCUGUUUAUCUUAUUUCAGUGAAAAUGGGCUUUCUCAGUUUUUAUCUGUCGGCAGUGAUAAGGUGUGACGUCUGGGCUCAUCCGGGCGAGACGAAAUAAACAGUUUCCACCUUUUCCACUAAUCUCUUAUUCACUGGCAGCACAAUUCUCAAUCUAUAUAUUAUUAAUUUUGGAAAACAACAAUCCCUCCAACAUCGAUUGCUAUAAUUCAUAAGUGUAAAGGUCGUGCUGCUGCUGAACCUUUUCCUGUUUGUAAAGCCAGCGCAGACCUGCUGAUGUAGAAAUGUUUCCUGCAUGUUGUAAUGUAAAAGAUAAAUGGAUUAUUAAAAGCAAAACCAGG